GAUGAACGCUGGCGGCGUGCCUAAUACAUGCAAGUCGAGCGAACAGACGAGGAGCUUGCUCCUCUGACGUUAGCGGCGGACGGGUGAGUAACACGUGGAUAACCUACCUAUAAGACUGGGAUAACUUCGGGAAACCGGCGCUAAUACCGGAUAAUCUAUUGAACCGCAUGGUUCAAUGGUGAAAGACGGUUUUGCUGUCACUUAUAGAUGGAUCCGCGCCGCAUUAGCUAGUUGGUAAGGUAACGGGUUACCAAGGCAACGAUGCGUAGACGACCUGAGAGGGUGAUCGGCCACACUGGAACUGAGACAGGGACCAGACUCCUACGGGAGGCAGCAGUAGGGAAUCUUCCGCAAUGGGCGAAAGCCUGACGGAGCAACGCCGCGUGAGUGAUGAAGGUCUUCGGAGCGUAAAACUCUGUUAUUAGGGAAGAACAAAUGUGUAAGUAACUAUGCACGUCUUGACGGUACCUAAUCAGAAAGCCACGGCUAACUACGUG
rnacentral:rRNA from 1 species